UACGUAGGGUGCGAGCGUUAAUCGGAAUUACUGGGCGUAAAGCGUGCGCAGGCGGUUUUGUAAGUUUGUCGUGAAAUCCCCGGGCUUAACCUGGGAAUGGCAUGGGAAACUGGCGGGCUGGAGUGUGGCAGAGGGGGGGUGGAAUUCCGCGUGUAGCAGUGAAAUGCGUAGAGAUGCGGAGGAACACCGAUGGCGAAGGCAGCCCCCCUGGGCUAACACUGACGCUCAGGCACGAAAGCGUGGGGAGCAAACAGG
rnacentral:rRNA from 1 species